rnacentral:misc_RNA from 1 species
UCCGAUUUGUCACCGGCAGUCUCCCUAGAGUCCCCGGCAUUAUCCGCUGGCAACAUGGGAUAAGGGUUGCGCUCGUUGCGGGACUUAACCCAACAUCUCACGACACGAGCUGACGACAGCCAUGCACCACCUAUCACGGGCCCCGAAGGACACCGUAUUUCUACGGCUUUUCCCGCAUAGUUCAGCCCAGGUAAGGUUCUUCGCGUUGCAUCGAAUUGAGCCACAUGCUCCGCCGCUUGUGCGGGCCCCUGUCAAUUCAUUUGAGUUUUAACCUUGCGGCCGUACUCCCCAGGCGGUCGACUUAUCGCGUUAACUGCGCCACUAAGAACUCGAGGCUCCCAACGGCUAGUCGACAUCGUUUACGGCGUGGACUAC